UACGGAGGGUGCGAGCGUUGUCCGGAUUUAUUGGGUUUAAAGGGUGCGUAGGCGGGCUAAUAAGUCAGUGGUGAAAGGGUGUCGCUUAACGAUAGCAUUGCCAUUGAUACUGUUAGUCUUGAGUACUGUAGAGGUGGGCGGAAUUCCGCAUGUAGCGGUGAAAUGCAUAGAUAUGCGGAGGAACGCCAAAAGAGAAGUCAGCUCACUGGGCAGUAACUGACGCUGAGGCACGAAAGCGUGGGGAUCGAACAGG
rnacentral:rRNA from 1 species